GCGCGAAACCUCCGCAAUGCGAGCAAUCGCGACGGGGGGACCCCAAGUGCCACUCUUAACGGGGUGGCUUUCUUAAGUGUAAAAAGCUUUUGGAAUAAGGGCUGGGCAAGACCGGUGCCAGCCGCCGCGGUAACACCGGCAGCCCAAGUGGUGGCCAUUUUUAUUGGGCCUAAAGCGUUCGUAGCCGGCCUGAUAAGUCUCUGGUGAAAUCCCGCAGCUUAACUGUGGGAAUUGCUGGAGAUACUAUCAGGCUUGAGGUCGGGAGAGGUUAGAGGUACUCCCAGGGUAGGGGUGAAAUCCUAUAAUCCUGGGAGGACCACCUGUGGCGAAGGCGUCUAACUGGAACGAACCUGACGGUGAGUAACGAAAGCCAGGGGCGCGAACCGGAUUAGAAACCCGGGU
rnacentral:rRNA from 1 species